rnacentral:rRNA from 1 species
AGUGAACGCUGGCGGUAGGCCUAACACAUGCAAGUCGAGCGGCAGCACAGUAAGAGCUUGCUCUUACGGGUGGCGAGUGGCGGACGGGUGAGGAAUACAUCGGAAUCUACUUUUUCGUGGGGGAUAACGUAGGGAAACUUACGCUAAUACCGCAUACGACCUACGGGUGAAAGCAGGGGAUCUUCGGACCUUGCGCGAUUGAAUGAGCCGAUGUCGGAUUAGCUAGUUGGCGGGGUAAAGGCCCACCAAGGCGACGAUCCGUAGCUGGUCUGAGAGGAUGAUCAGCCACACUGGAACUGAGACACGGUCCAGACUCCUACGGGAGGCAGCAGUGGGGAAUAUUGGACAAUGGGCGCAAGCCUGAUCCAGCUAUACCGCGUGGGUGAAGAAGGCCUUCGGGUUGUAAAGCCCUUUUGUUGGGAAAGAAAAGCAGCAGGUUAAUACCCCGCUGUUCUGACGGUACCCAAAGAAUAAGCACCGGCUAACUUCGU